GCCGGCCCGACCCUUGUAAAUCGCCCCACCCGCCCCCAUAAUUCAAAGCAUGGUUGUAAUUCCGGCAAUCUGGAGGCGUUCUGGACAGGGGUUCGAUUCCCCUCACCUCCACCCAAGGACAUUCCGCUGAGUGUUUUUGGAUGGGGGUGUACUGGCUUCGACAGGGCGGGCAAAGGUGCGCAGGCAACUCGUCAGGCGAUCGACGUUAAUGAAGCAAAUCCAUAAUUGCCAAUGAUGAGC
rnacentral:tmRNA from 1 species